rnacentral:SRP_RNA from 1 species
GCCUGCUGUAGCCCCAGCUACUCUGAGAGGCUGAGGUAGGAGAAUUGCUUGAGUCCAUGAGUUCUGGGCUAUAGUGAACUAUGCUAAUUGGGUGACCUCACUAAGUUUGGCAUCAGUAUGGUGACCUGAGGGCAGUGGACCACCAGGUUGCCUAAGGAGGGGAUAAACAGAGCGGCUCAAAACUCCCAUGCUGAUUAGUAGUGGGAUUUCACCUAUGAAUGGCCACUGGACUUCAGGCUGGGCAACGUAGCGAGACCUCGUUUCU